UUUCUUUCUGUCUCUUCUUCCGCUCUGUCCCUUCCUCCUCCUCCUUCCCCUCUUCCCUAACUUCCCUGCCUCCUUCCCUCCUUUCUGCCCCUCUUUCCCGCCCUCCAUCCUUCUUCCUCUUCCUUCCUGUCUCUUUGAAGGGUGGGACUGCAGCAGGGUGACAGGGGCCAGGUCCCCACCCACAGCUCUGUAUGAGGGCACUGAGGCUCUCGCUGAUCUUUCUGAUCGUGAAGAAAAGAUGGGUAGGAAAGAAUAAGAGGCCAAAAGGCAAACGGGGCCACGUGGGGUGCAGGCUGGGGCUCCCCCUGGACACUGGAGGAACGGCCAGUGUUGCAUUGGAGGAAACAGCCGCCCAUGUCUCCGUGGUGAUCACACAGCAUCGUUUUGAGUGAAGCGGAGUGGCGUUGGCUGCACUGGCUGGCGGAGGGGAUGCAUCCCAAAUGUUUCCUGGCCGCCCGCCCGAAGCUGCCUGCGGUUUCCUGGCUCCUCACCGGCUGCCCCCUGCCCGACCAGGACCCGGACCCUGCUCUCCGGCCACUGCUGCUCCUGCACCCAUGCUGUGGCUGGAGUUUGGCUUUGAGUUUUGCGCCUAAGUUGCCCGAGGGAGGGACUCCGGAGUCGGGCCGUGUUUCCCUGUCUUCGGCGGUGGCCGCAUCCCCCCUGCAGAGCAGAGCCCCCACCCGAAGCAUGCUCUGAGCCCCCAGCCCCAUCCCCAUCCCAGCAGUGACACCGAUAUUUGCUGGCUUAGGCUCCGCGCCAGUCCUACCUCAGUUCAGGGGAGCCGGGUGUGGGGAGGGGCCACUCGGGCUGCGUGUCUGGGGCCUGCAACUCUGGCUUUGGAAGAGCAUAGCGGGACUGCAGUCACUCUAUGUGGGGAGACCUGGGAUUGAACUUGGAAGACAGAGCCACAGAGUAGUUGGUGUCUCUGCAGCCCCUCAGUGUCAGAGCAUGGGGUGGAGAGAGGCCCCGGAGGGCAUGGAGAGCUCUUGACCCCUGACUGCUGCAUGGACGCCAGGCAGGUACCUCUGCAGGCAGAAGCCACUGCCACUGGCUCAGCUGUCUGUUGUCCCGCCGAGGACUGGCCUUUCCUUAACCAAAAGUGCAUGUGGGCAGCAAGCGAUUCCAGGCUGGUCUGGGUUUGGCAGAUUUUGUGUUUAAAAUGUAUUAUGAUCUUUAAAUAUGCCAGUCUGAUGUUGGCCACCAAGGCUACCCUGAAUUGAGAGAGAGAGAGCGCAUUCUGGCUCCCUCGCUGGUCAUGGGAAAGAUAAAGAAGGAAAGCAGUCUUGCAGGACGCCGUGCUUGUCAGAGAAACCCUCGACAGGAGGGGCACCCUGCUUCUCUGGUCAGUGUUCUGGAGAUGCCAGUGUGGUGGCCGCAACGGAAGCCAUCCCUGUCCCAGAGGCUCCGGACUCGUGGCUGGACCCCGCCCCAGUGCCUGUCUCCCCUGUCGUCCUGUAGAGGCCCCACUAAUUCUUGGAGAUGUGACUUGUUCAUUGGUUUCUUCUGUUGUUACUUUUUGUUUUGGAGAAAAAAAUAUUAUAUAUAUAUAUAAAUAUAUAGAUCUAUAUCAUUAUAGAGUAAUGCAUUAAUGAGGCUUUGUAGAGGAAGACCAAAAAUUUCAAUGUCUUAAGAUGUAUUUAAUGGCAAUGCAAAAGUCUUCCUGCUUUCGUGCUGAACUCUUUAGAAGCGAGGACUGUACUGCAAGACGAAGUUGAAUGUAAAGUGCUCCUGACCAUUUCUGAGGUUUUGCUUCUCUGAGCUACGCGUCGCAGCCAUGCAUAGUUGGUUUGAAGGCCGACUCCAUGUAUGAUACGCUUUGCUAAGAUGUGUAGAAUGUUCUGGAGCUUUCUCUCGUUAGGAAUCGGUGGGCGCAGCACCGUGGGCCGGAAGGGAACCUCAGCUGGCGCUCCCCACGCCCCGUGCAGCCUAAAUGAGCAGCCAAGAAGCUGAUAAUAUAUACUGAAUUUUCCUCUAUCCUGUACAUUUCAAAAAAAGGCACAUGCAAUAUUUACAUGUUUUAUUUAGUUUACAGAACGGAACCAAAAUGUAUGUUAUGUUUGCAAAAAUUUCACAAUGUAUAUUGGGUCUUUGUACAUUUUGCCUGACUUACCUUAAAUUUAAACUAUUUUUUGCUAUAUAAACUUUAACCGUUAUUAAACAGUGUUUUCUUUUGGGUAUGUAUUGUUUCUGGAUCUGGAGCUGUUAAAUAUAUUUCUUGCUAUUGUGUUAUGUCAGCACCUCCCCCCCAUCUUCCAUGCUGUACAUAGGGUUGGGAAUGAGCCAGGCUAGAGUAGUGCAUUGUAUUUAGUCUGUAUUGAUCAUGGAUACCCUCCUGAAUAGCCAUAUGCAAUAAAUAAAAUAAAU
ensembl:lncRNA